rnacentral:misc_RNA from 1 species
AAAAGUGUUGUGAUGUUGAAUCGAUCCAACUUAUGAACUUAGGCUAUUUAGGAUAUUGAUGGAUGAAUGAGUAAUUUUCUCUUCGAAGUUGAAGAUAUACAUGAUUUCUUUUAUUCUAAUGGUGUAUAUCAUCCUGAUUAGAUUAUCCUCUUGUGUAUGAGUCUCAUUCUUCUUACUCAAGAGUGUAGUCUCUGAGGCUGUCUUGAG